rnacentral:rRNA from 1 species
GACGAACGCUGGCGGCGUGCCUAACACAUGCAAGUCGAGCGGGGAUUUAAGUGGAAGUUCUUCGGAAUGGAGAUUUAAAUUAUAGCGGCGGACGGGUGAGUAACGCGUGAACAAUCUGUCCCGGACAGGGGGAUAACACUUGGAAACAGGUGCUAAUACCGCAUAAGACCACGGCCUCGCAUGGGGCUGAGGUAAAGGAAGCAAUCGGGUUGGGGGUGGGUUCGCGUCCAGUUAGCUAGUUGGUGAGGUAACGGCCCACCAAGGCGACGAUCGGUAGCCGGCCUGAGAGGGUGAACGGCCACAUUGGAACUGAGAGACGGUCCAAACUCCUACGGGAGGCAGCAGUGGGGAAUAUUGGGCAAUGGGCGAAAGCCUGACCCAGCAACGCCGCGUGAGGGAAGAAGGUUUUCGGAUUGUAAACCUCUGUCCUAUGGGACGAAGGAAGUGACGGUACCAUAGGAGGAAGCCCCGGCUAACUACGUG